CCCCUCUCAGGAUUAUGCCUGGAGAGUUUCCAGUACUCUACCAGCCUGGACUAUGGGAGGAAGAGUCAAGCAGAGACAUACCCAUUGCAUUCCUGGCUUGGGCAGUGGCUAGCAAGUGGAAGGCCAUCUGCUGCAAGU